UACGGAGGGUGCAAGCGUUGUCCGGAUUUAUUGGGUUUAAAGGGUGCGUAGGCGGUCUUUUAAGUCAGUGGUGAAAUCCUCCAGCUCAACUGGAGAACUGCCAUUGAUACUGGAAGACUUGAGUAUAGUUGAGGUAGGCGGAAUUGACAGUGUAGCGGUGAAAUGCAUAGAUAUUGUCAAGAACACCGAUUGCGAAGGCAGCUUACUAAACUAUAACUGACGCUGAGGCACGAAAGUGUGGGGAUCAAACAGG
rnacentral:rRNA from 1 species